rnacentral:rRNA from 1 species
AGCGUACACGGUGGAUGCCCUGGCAGUCAGAGGCGAUGAAGGACGUGCUAAUCUGCGAUAAGCGUCGGUAAGGUGAUAUGAACCGUUAUAACCGGCGAUUUCCGAAUGGGGAAACCCAGUGUGAUUCGUCACACUAUCAUUAACUGAAUCCAUAGGUUAAUGAGGCGAACCGGGGGAACUGAAACAUCUAAGUACCCCGAGGAAAAGAAAUCAACCGAGAUUCCCCCAGUAGCGGCGAGCGAACGGGGAGCAGCCCAGAGCCUGAAUCAGUGUGUGUGUUAGUGGAAGCGUCUGGAAAGGCGCGCGAUACAGGGUGACAGCCCCGUACACAAAAAUGCACAUACUGUGAGCUCGAUGAGUAGGGCGGGACACGUGGUAUCCUGUCUGAAUAUGGGGGGACCAUCCUCCAAGGCUAAAUACUCCUGACUGACCGAUAGUGAACCAGUACCGUGAGGGAAAGGCGAAAAGAACCCCGGCGAGGGGAGUGAAAAAGAACCUGAAACCGUGUACGUACAAGCAGUGGGAGCACGCUUAGGCGUGUGACUGCGUACCUUUUGUAUAAUGGGUCAGCGACUUAUAUUCUGUAGCAAGGUUAACCGAAUAGGGGAGCCGAAGGGAAACCGAGUCUUAACUGGGCGUUAAGUUGCAGGGUAUAGACCCGAAACCCGGUGAUCUAGCCAUGGGCAGGUUGAAGGUUGGGUAACACUAACUGGAGGACCGAACCGACUAAUGUUGAAAAAUUAGCGGAUGACUUGUGGCUGGGGGUGAAAGGCCAAUCAAACCGGGAGAUAGCUGGUUCUCCCCGAAAGCUAUUUAGGUAGCGCCUCGUGAAUUCAUCUCCGGGGGUAGAGCACUGUUUCGGCAAGGGGGUCAUCCCGACUUACCAACCCGAUGCAAACUGCGAAUACCGGAGAAUGUUAUCACGGGAGACACACGGCGGGUGCUAACGUCCGUCGUGAAGAGGGAAACAACCCAGACCGCCAGCUAAGGUCCCAAAGUCAUGGUUAAGUGGGAAACGAUGUGGGAAGGCCCAGACAGCCAGGAUGUUGGCUUAGAAGCAGCCAUCAUUUAAAGAAAGCGUAAUAGCUCACUGGUCGAGUCGGCCUGCGCGGAAGAUGUAACGGGGCUAAACCAUGCACCGAAGCUGCGGCAGCGACGCUGAUGCGUUGUUGGGUAGGGGAGCGUUCUGUAAGCCUGUGAAGGUGUGCUGUGAGGCAUGCUGGAGGUAUCAGAAGUGCGAAUGCUGACAUAAGUAACGAUAAAGCGGGUGAAAAGCCCGCUCGCCGGAAGACCAAGGGUUCCUGUCCAACGUUAAUCGGGGCAGGGUGAGUCGACCCCUAAGGCGAGGCCGAAAGGCGUAGUCGAUGGGAAACAGGUUAAUAUUCCUGUACUUGGUGUUACUGCGAAGGGGGGACGGAGAAGGCUAUGUUGGCCGGGCGACGGUUGUCCCGGUUUAAGCGUGUAGGCUGGUUUUCCAGGCAAAUCCGGAAAAUCAAGGCUGAGGCGUGAUGACGAGGCACUACGGUGCUGAAGCAACAAAUGCCCUGCUUCCAGGAAAAGCCUCUAAGCAUCAGGUAACAUCAAAUCGUACCCCAAACCGACACAGGUGGUCAGGUAGAGAAUACCAAGGCGCUUGAGAGAACUCGGGUGAAGGAACUAGGCAAAAUGGUGCCGUAACUUCGGGAGAAGGCACGCUGAUAUGUAGGUGAAGUCCCUCGCGGAUGGAGCUGAAAUCAGUCGAAGAUACCAGCUGGCUGCAACUGUUUAUUAAAAACACAGCACUGUGCAAACACGAAAGUGGACGUAUACGGUGUGACGCCUGCCCGGUGCCGGAAGGUUAAUUGAUGGGGUUAGCGCAAGCGAAGCUCUUGAUCGAAGCCCCGGUAAACGGCGGCCGUAACUAUAACGGUCCUAAGGUAGCGAAAUUCCUUGUCGGGUAAGUUCCGACCUGCACGAAUGGCGUAAUGAUGGCCAGGCUGUCUCCACCCGAGACUCAGUGAAAUUGAACUCGCUGUGAAGAUGCAGUGUACCCGCGGCAAGACGGAAAGACCCCGUGAACCUUUACUAUAGCUUGACACUGAACAUUGAGCCUUGAUGUGUAGGAUAGGUGGGAGGCUUUGAAGUGUGGACGCCAGUCUGCAUGGAGCCGACCUUGAAAUACCACCCUUUAAUGUUUGAUGUUCUAACGUUGACCCGUAAUCCGGGUUGCGGACAGUGUCUGGUGGGUAGUUUGACUGGGGCGGUCUCCUCCUAAAGAGUAACGGAGGAGCACGAAGGUUGGCUAAUCCUGGUCGGACAUCAGGAGGUUAGUGCAAUGGCAUAAGCCAGCUUGACUGCGAGCGUGACGGCGCGAGCAGGUGCGAAAGCAGGUCAUAGUGAUCCGGUGGUUCUGAAUGGAAGGGCCAUCGCUCAACGGAUAAAAGGUACUCCGGGGAUAACAGGCUGAUACCGCCCAAGAGUUCAUAUCGACGGCGGUGUUUGGCACCUCGAUGUCGGCUCAUCACAUCCUGGGGCUGAAGUAGGUCCCAAGGGUAUGGCUGUUCGCCAUUUAAAGUGGUACGCGAGCUGGGUUUAGAACGUCGUGAGACAGUUCGGUCCCUAUCUGCCGUGGGCGCUGGAGAACUGAGGGGGGCUGCUCCUAGUACGAGAGGACCGGAGUGGACGCAUCACUGGUGUUCGGGUUGUCAUGCCAAUGGCACUGCCCGGUAGCUAAAUGCGGAAGAGAUAAGUGCUGAAAGCAUCUAAGCACGAAACUUGCCCCGAGAUGAGUUCUCCCUGACUCCUUGA